AUUGAACGCUGGCGGCAGGCCUAACACAUGCAAGUCGAACGAGUGGCGGACGGGUGAGUAAUGCCUGGGAAACUGGCUGAUGGAGGGGGAUAACUACUGGAAACGGUAGCUAAUACCGCAUACCAUCAGAUGUGCCCAAUGGGGAUUAGCUAGUUGGUGGGGUAAAGGCUCACCAAGGCGACGAUCUCUAGCUGGUCUGAGAGGAUGACCAGCCACACUGGAACUGAGACACGGCCCAGACUCCUACGGGAGGCAGCAGUGGGGAAGAUUGCACAAUGGGGGCAAGCCUGAUGCAGCCAUGCCGCGUGUAUGAAGAAGGCCUUCGGGUUGUAAAGUUCUUUCGGCGGGGAGGCGUUACCCGCAGAAGAAGCACCGGCUAACUCCGUGCCAGCAGCCGCGGUAAUAC
rnacentral:rRNA from 1 species